GAUGAACGCUGGCGGCGUGCCUAAUACAUGCAAGUCGAGCGAACAGACGAGGAGCUUGCUCCUCUGACGUUAGCGGCGGACGGGUGAGUAACACGUGGAUAACCUACCUAUAAGACUGGGAUAACUUCGGGAAACCGGAGCUAAUACCGGAUAAUAUAUUGAACCGCAUGGUUCAAUAGUGAAAGACGGUUUUGCUGUCACUUAUAGAUGGAUCCGCGCCGCAUUAGCUAGUUGGUAAGGUAACGGCUUACCAAGGCAACGAUGCGUAGCCGACCUGAGAGGGGGAUCGGCCACACUGGAACUGAGACACGGUCCAGACUCCUAAGGGAGGCAGCAGUAGGGAAUCUUCCGCAAUGGGCGAAAGCCUGACGGAGCAACGCCGCGUGAGUGAUGAAGGUCUUCGGAUCGUAAAACUCUGUUAUUAGGGAAGAACAAAUGUGUAAGUAACUAUGCACGUCUUGACGGUACUUAAUCAGAAAGCCACGGCUAACUACGUG
rnacentral:rRNA from 1 species